rnacentral:rRNA from 1 species
GCCGGCAGCCAUAUCACCCUGCAACUCCCCACUGAAGCUCAGCAGGUGUGAGCCUGGCCAGUACCUGGAUGGGAGACCUCCAGGGAAAAAUUAUGGUUUCUGCUGGAA